CUGCAGUUGGCUUAACUUAAGCCGCCUGGCUUCCUUUCCUCCUGGGGGCCCAGUGUGCAAUGGCUGCAAACAGCAGCUUCCUUGGUAGUGUAAUGCAGCCUGUUUCUUGCAUGGGUUGCUCUAAGGGACCUUGGAGACAAGC
rnacentral:snoRNA from 2 species